rnacentral:lncRNA from 1 species
AUAUCCCAUGAUCAAACAUCCACAAUCCUAUAUAGAAUCAAUUUCAAUAAUUAGAAAGAAUACGAAUACCAUAUUUCAACGGUUUAGAUUGGGUCCGAUCAUCUAAUUUUAUCUAAUCAAAAUCUAAUUAGGACCUAAAUGAUCCAAAGUUUGACUAUCAGAUCAAAUCGGAUUUGAAGUGAUAGGACUGAGAUUUCUUCAUCAAUUUCAUAAAAUCAAGUGGAGAGAGAAAAUCAAAGGAGAGAGAAUUCAUGAGGUACAAUUCGAAUUGAUCAGGUGACACAAUCCAACAUUACGAUUGGUCCAAUAUCUCGAUUGGUGAAAUCAACAUGAUCAAAUCAAGUCAUGGCU